AGGUAACGGCGAGUGAAGAGGGAAGAGCCCAAGAUUGAAAGCUGGCGUCUUCGGCGUCCGCAUUGUAAUCUCAAGAAGUGUUUUCCGCUUCGGACCAAGCCUAAGUCCCCUGGAAAGGGGCAUCAUAGAGGGUGAUAAUCCCGUACAUGGCUUGGAGCGCCCGAGGCUUUGUGAUACGCUUUCUAAGAGUCGAGUUGUUUGGGAAUGCAGCUCAAAAUGGGUGGUAAAUGCCAUCUAAGGCUAAAUAUUGGGGAGAGACCGAUAGCGAACAAGUACAGUGAUGGAAAGAUGAAAAGAACUUUGAAAAGAGAGUUAAACAGUACGUGAAAUUGCCAAAAGGGAAGGGUAGGAGGUCAGAGAUGCGGCCUGGGAUUCAGCCUUGCUUUUGCUUGGUGUUUUUCCCAGAUUGCAGGCCAACGUCGGUUUUGGGCACUGGAGAAGGGUAGGAGGAACGUGGCACCUCUCGGGGUGUGUUAUAGCCUCCUACUGGAUACAGCGACCGAGACCGAGGACAGCAGCGUACUCGCAAGAGCGGGCCUUCGGGCACCUUUACGCUUAGGGCGUUGGCAUAAUGGCCCUCUACCACCCGUCUUGAA
rnacentral:rRNA from 1 species